rnacentral:rRNA from 1 species
UACGAAGGGGGGCUAGCGUUACUCGGAUUGACUGGGCGUAAAGGGCGCGUAGGCGGCUUGUACAGUCAGACGUGAAAUUCCUGGGCUCAACCUGGGGGGCUGCGUUUGAUACGUAUGGGCUUGAGUUCGGAAGAGGGUCGUGGAAUUCCCAGUGUAGAGGUGAAAUUCGUAGAUAUUGGGAAGAACACCGGUGGCGAAGGCGGCGACCUGGUCCGAUACUGACGCUGAGGCGCGAAAGCGUGGGGAGCAAACAGG